rnacentral:rRNA from 1 species
GGACUGGCGGUGCUAUACAUGCAAGUCGAGCGGACAGAUGGGAGCUUGCUCCCUGAUGUUAGCGGCGGACGGGUGAGUAACACGUGGGUAACCUGCCUGUAAGACUGGGAUAACUCCGGGAAACCGGGGCUAAUACCGGAUGGUUGUUUGAACCGCAUGGUUCAGACAUAAAAGGUGGCUUCGGCUACCACUUACAGAUGGACCCGCGGCGCAUUAGCUAGUUGGUGAGGUAACGGCUCACCAAGGCGACGAUGCGUAGCCGACCUGAGAGGGUGAUCGGCCACACUGGGACUGAGACACGGCCCAGACUCCUACGGGAGGCAGCAGUAGGGAAUCUUCCGCAAUGGACGAAAGUCUGACGGAGCAACGCCGCGUGAGUGAUGAAGGUUUUCGGAUCGUAAAGCUCUGUUGUUAGGGAAGAACAAGUGCCGUUCAAAUAGGGCGGCACCUUGACGGUACCUAACCAGAAAGCCACGGCUAACUACGUGCCAGCAGCCGCGGUAAUACGUAGGUGGCAAGCGUUGUCCGGAAUUAUUGGGCGUAAAGGGCUCGCAGGCGGUUUCUUAAGUCUGAUGUGAAAGCCCCCGGCUCAACCGGGGAGGGUCAUUGGAAACUGGGGAACUUGAGUGCAGAAGAGGAGAGUGGAAUUCCACGUGUAGCGGUGAAAUGCGUAGAGAUGUGGAGGAACACCAGUGGCGAAGGCGACUCUCUGGUCUGUAACUGACGCUGAGGAGCGAAAGAGUGGGGAGCGAACAGGAUUAGAUACCCUGGUAGUCCACGCCGUAAACGAUGAGUGCUAAGUGUUAGGGGGUUUCCGCCCCUUAGUGCUGCAGCUAACGCAUUAAGCACUCCGCCUGGGGAGUACGGUCGCAAGACUGAAACUCAAAGGAAUUGACGGGGGCCCGCACAAGCGGUGGAGCAUGUGGUUUAAUUUGAAGCAACGCGAAGAACCUUACCAGGUCUUGACAUCCUCUGACAAUCCUAGAGAUAGGACGUCCCCUUCGGGGGCAGAGUGACAGGUGGUGCAUGGUUGUCGUCAGCUCGUGUCGUGAGAUGUUGGGUUAAGUCCCGCAACGAGCGCAACCCUUGAUUUUAGUUGCCAGCAUUCAGUUGGGCACUCUAAGGUGACUGCCGGUGACAAACCGGAGGAAGGUGGGGAUGACGUCAAAUCAUCAUGCCCCUUAUGACCUGGGCUACACACGUGCUACAAUGGACAGAACAAAGGGCAGCGAAACCGCGAGGUUAAGCCAAUCCCACAAAUCUGUUUUCAGUUCGGAUCGCAGUCUGCAACUCGACUGCGUGAAGCUGGAAUCGCUAGUAAUCGCGGAUCAGCAUGCCGCGGUGAAUACGUUCCCGGGCCUUGUACACACCGCCCGUCACACCACGAGAGUUUGUAACACCCGAAGUCGGUGAGGUAACCUUU